UUCAGUAUGAUUUGUUUUUGUUUUCGAUUGUUUGGGAGGCGUUUGUAGUCUGAGUAACUAUGGAAAGAUUACCCAUGGAAAUGCCCCGUACGACUUUUUUUAUGGACUACACUCAAAAUCCCGUGAUCUCACGCAACUUAAACAAAAAAUUAGGAGAGUGAUGGAGGAACUGGACGCCCGAAAUGUGUGAUCGCGUCAUCGCAAAUUUGUAUGCUGUACAUUUAAAUCUCAACAUUUUCUGAUCAAAAAUCAAACUAUUCAAACGGUGAUGUACUUAGGCUACUAAAAGUACACUAUUGUCAUAAUGUCGAUGAAUGAACAACAAUACAAGUAGGAUAUAACUAUCGAAUGUACGAUUCAUACUAUGUGUAUAAUACACGCCACCAUUUUGACCUUAUCAAGUGGAGACGAAAAAAUGACUCACCAAGACUUCAGAAAUGGAUGGUGUUUUUAGAUAACCCGAAAACCUCUUUUCAUGAAUUGCAG